UACGGAGGGUGCGAGCGUUAAUCGGAAUUACUGGGCGUAAAGCGUACGUAGGCGGUUGGUUAAGUUAGAUGUGAAAGCCCCGGGCUUAACCUGGGAACUGCAUUUAAAACUGGCGAACUAGAGUUGAGUAGAGGGGAGUGGAAUUUCAGGUGUAGCGGUGAAAUGCGUAGAGAUCUGAAGGAACACCAGUGGCGAAGGCGACUCCCUGGACUCGAACUGACGCUGAGGUACGAAAGCGUGGGUAGCAAACGGGAUUAGAAACCCUAGUAGUCC
rnacentral:rRNA from 1 species